GACGAACCGUGCAAACGUUAUUCGGAAUCACUGGGCUUAAAGGGCGCGUAGGCGGGCAUUCAAGUCUGUGGUGAAAUCCUCCAGCUCAACUGGAGAACUGCCUCGGAUACUGGGUGUCUCGAGGGUGGUAGGGGUAUGCGGAACUAUCGGUGGAGCGGUGAAAUGCGUUGAUAUCGAUAGGAACUCCGGUGGCGAAGGCGGCAUACUGGACCACUUCUGACGCUGAGGCGCGAAAGCCAGGGGAGCGAACGGG
rnacentral:rRNA from 1 species